ACCCAUGUCCCCUGCAUCGGCAGGCGGACUCUCAACCACUGCGCCACCAGGGAAGCCCUGAAGUUCCAUGUUUUAUAUUCUGUCUUCACAACGAGCUCGUCAGCCUGAGGAUGGCUCCCAGAUCUCUCUAGCUCAACCCCUGCAACUUACAAGUGCAGCAGGUAGUUGCUAAUGUUGCCUCCUCACUUUUGGGACAAGGACCCUGUUUUAUACCCUGUGCACCCUUCAUAGCAGAUGGUCCAGUGCCUUGUACAUGGCGGAUUCUUAACCACUGUGCCAUCAGGGAAGCCCCC